CCCCGCGGGGGGCUUGGAGCCGCUGCCUCCCCCAUACCCUUGCACACCCACGUCUAGAGACGAGAUGCCGCAUGACCUCAGGACUCGUUUAAUAGUGACGAUGGAGCCCUGCUCUUCCAGGGCAUCGCCGUCCUCCUCCGGGUAAUGGAAAGCCACGAAGAGCUGGUACAGAUGCCCACCAUGACAGCCAGGGCACCUGCCAAGUAGCUGGUGAGGAUGUCCCCCUUUGUCUCUUCGCUGGUGACCCUCUGUGCGGCGCCGCCCAGGGUGAUUGUCUGGAGAAGAGGGACGUGCCCAUCUCAGCCCCACCAGCCCUGUGCUGAGACACCGCCUCCACUGACAGCACAGGGCAGCGAGGCGAGGGCUGUGCCGGUGCCGCCUCUGUGGUUUUGCUCCCCGUCCUUGGACAUCGGACAGGCACUGGCAGGGAGGCGCUUACUGCUCUCACUUGUGGUUUUGACAGCAAAGCAAUCAAAUUAUUAGCA